UACAGGUUUGGUCCUAGCCUUAUUAUUAAUUAUCAGUAAGAUUAUACAUGCAAGCAACCACAUACCAGUGAGAAUGCCCUUCAAAUCUACUCGAUCAACAGGAGCAGGCAUCAAGCACGCCAAUCGGCAGCUCACUACGCCUUGCUGAGCCACACCCCCACGGGACACAGCAGUAACAAAACUUGAGCAAUAAACGAAAGUUUGACUAAGCUAUACUGAUCAACAUAAAUAGGGUUGGUAAAUUUCGUGCCAGCCACCGCGGUCAUACGAUUAACCCAAAUUAAUACUACACGGCGUAAAGUGUGUUUAAGUAAUCAACUAAUAAAGUUAAAUUUAAUCUAAGCCGUAAAAUGCACUAGACUAAAUAAAAAUAAUCUACGAAAGUGACUUUAGCACUCUGAAUACACGACAGCCAAGACACAAACUGGGAUUAGAUACCCCACUAUGCUUGACCAUAAACUUAAGUAAUUACAAAACAAUACUACUCGCCAGAGUACUACAAGCAAUAGCUCAAAACUCAAAGGACUUGACGGUGCCUUAUAUCCAUCUAGAGGAGCCUGUUCUAUAAUCGAUAAACCCCGAUAAACCCUACCACCCCUUGCUAAUCCAAUCUAUAUACCGCCAUCCUCAGCAAACCCUACCAAGGCCGCAAAGUAAGCACAAACAUUUAAACAUAAAAACGUUAGGUCAAGGUGUAGUCUAUGAGGUGGAAAGAAAUGGGCUACAUUAUCUGUAACAGAUCAAACAUACAGCAACCCUCAUGAAACAAAGGGCCAAAGGAGGAUUUAGCAGUAAAUUAAGAAUAGAGAGCUUAAUUGAAUAAGGCCAUAAAGCACGUACACACCGCCCGUCACCCUCCUCAAAACCUCAUAACACUUAUAUGCCAAUUAAAGUUUAUUCUAAUCCUUAGAGGAGAUAAGUCGUAACAAGGUAAGCAUACUGGAAAGUGUGCUUGGAUUAUU
rnacentral:ncRNA from 1 species